rnacentral:rRNA from 1 species
CGCUGGCGGUGUGCUUAACACAUGCAAGUGGUGCGACGAACCAGAGCUUGCUCUGGGGCAAAGCCGCGAACGGGUGAGUAACACGUGGGUAAUCUACCCCGAUGACCGGGACAACCCGAGGAAACUCGGGCUAAUACCGGAUGUGGUACGGAGACAUAAGUCUCUUUACUAAAGGUAGCUUCGGCUUCCGCAUUGGGAGGGGCCCGCGGCCCAUUAGCUAGUUGUGGGGUCAAGGCCUACCAAGGCAACGAUGGGUAGCUGGUCUGAGAGGACGAUCAGCCACACUGGGACUGAGACACGGCCCAGACUCCUACGGGAGGCAGCAGUGGGGAAUCUUGCGCAAUGCGCGAAAGCGUGACGCAGCAACACCGCGUGAGGGAAGACGGCCUUAGGGUUGUAAACCUCUUUCAGAUGGGACGAAGGUGAUGCGGUGAAUAGCCGAUGUCAUUGACGGUACCGUCAGAAGAAGCUCCGGCUAACUACGUG